rnacentral:lncRNA from 1 species
AGCAACACAAUCCCAUGGCUGACAUUUCCAGAUAGUUGAACACAAUCUAGAAUGUUAUCCCUUCAUAUUACCCGAACAAAAUGACAUAUUACAAGUUAAUAAUUCUUAAAAUAAUUAAAUAUCUACUGAAGCCAUAGAGAAACAGAGAAAAAUAAAAGUGGGGCGCGGCGCGGCAUUGCGGAGAAGAAAGAAGAAAAGUGAAGAAAAAGGAAAAUGAAAGAUUAGGUGAAGCUGCCGAGAAGAAAGAAGAAAUGUGAAGAAAAAAGAAAAUGAAAGAUUAGAUGAAGAAAACGGCGCAGAGAAGAAAGUGAAAAU